CACCCAGCAUCAUUUCCAGUUAGGACUAGUUCUCUGGGACAUGGGAGUCGGGAGCAGAGUUCUAUAAAUAAUGAAAGCUAUCUUAAUCUCCCCAGAAAGCAAAGCCCUAAAGGCAGGAAUGUUGCAUUUGGAGAAGUAGCUUUCCUAACCUCCAUUUUUAAUGACCUGUGUCUUCUUAUGUCAUGAUAAACCUGAUUCAUGCCCCUUCAAAUGUAUUCAUUGAAGCCACAAUCCCCAAUAUAACAGCAAACCAGGAGUGAAAACGUAACAGCAGGAACCAAUGCUUCAUGUUUUCUAAUAUUCUGUCAGUUGGCACAUUUGUGCCUAAGAGUGUGGAGGUGACAGGAACAGCCGUGGGCCAGAGGGAAGGGACAGCACCAAUGACAAUUUAAUCUGUCUACUAACAGACUUCCAGUGCCCAUCUCCAAAACCGGAGGCAGAAUGCUCUGUAAUAAUGACACGGGAGAUGUUAAAGACAUCAUUCAUGGUGCAGAUUGCUGGUCACACACUCCUUAUACAGCAGAUUUAUGAAAGAGGUUGCUCUCAGCCUUCCUAAACAGGACCAGAGCCGUGCAGCAGUACCAUUGGGAGGCAGUAGAACACGGAGUUAAGCUCUGGGCUCCAGAGCCUGUGUCUUCAUUUUAUAAGUGCUUCAUAAUUAAUGAUGCCGCGAUGCCGAUCUGUAUUCUACAAGGCUGAUUCUUUUGCAGAAAUCAAUAGUCUGACAGAGGAAAUCCUUUUGGGAAGAGACUGUUUAAUCAUCUUCAUUAUCAUCAUCAUUAUCAUUGUGAUAGACGGCAUUUAUUGAAUUCUUAAGAUGUGCAAGUGACUGAAUAUGAAUAACCGUAUCUCGUCCUUCCUCUAGCUUUGAAAAACAAGUUUACUAAAUACCAGAAGGCACAUGGCAUUGAUUCCUCACAUUAGCCCAGUCCAGUACCUUACCUCAAAUGGGUUUAUUUCUGGCUGCCUGGCAGAGGAUUCAUGUUGUAGAAUAGCCAUCAUACACAUUACUGGCAAGCAAAGUUUCUACAUAAAUGCAGAUGUGGUUUGUAAAGGCAUAUCAAGUAUCUUCAUAUCCUUUUUCAGCAGUGUGAUGACAAAUAACUAAUCUCUUUGGUCCUCAGUUUCCCCGACGUACAAAUGGGAUGAGUUCGCCAAACUAGAGCUUUGUGGCAAAAUGAUCAUUUCAGUAUCUGAGAGCACCUGGCAGAGGGAGGAGCUGCAAGAGAGGCAGGCUCCCUUUAGCCCUGAGUAUCCAGCUAAAAUGCCCUCUGACUUGCCCAUAACCUUGACCAGCCUUUAGAGAAGUCUUCCCAGUAUUCUCCCUUAACUAAUUAAACAGAACUAAAUGUACACCUUUUAGCUUUCUCAUGCUACCCUGGUCAUAACUGAGAUGCAAGAGUGCUUCUCCAUGGUGAGGCUCUAGAUUGCUGACCCUGACAUCCUCUUGCUCCAUUCAGAAAGAGGUGUCAGCCUAAGCCUGAGCCGAGCUUCCUCUCUCCAUCCCAGUUGCUCCCCACUCCAUAAGUUUUGCCACUUCAGCAACCUCAAUUUCAACAAAACUGUUACUCAAAAUAGAUUCCUCCAGAAGCUGCCCCGGCUGUGGUCUCCUGCAGAGUGAGAGUCAUGGGUUCAUUGCAGCUGCUGACCAUCCAUUCUAAGAAGCCUUUGGAUCUGCCCUCCAGAUUUGUGGAUAUUUGCUGAUGUAUUCCCCCCAAAAUUCAAAGGAUACCUGAAAGUGCUCGUAUUGAGAUAUAUGUGUGUGUGUGUGUGUGUGUGUGUGUGUGUGUGUGUGUGUGUGUGUGCAUAUGUAUGUAUAUAUAUCACAUAUAUAUAUGUUUAUGCAUAUGUAUGUGUAUAGGUAUAUGUAUAUGCAUUGGUAUAGGUAUAUAAACCGGUUUUCCCUUAAGCCUGUAUUCUCUUGUCCCUAAACCUUAGCUAGGAGGUACAGAGAUCUGGCCAACAUCCUCUUUUCCUAUAUUCCCAAAUGCCUGGCAUGGGCACAGGAAGCCAAAUCCAAACACUGCCCCAAAAGCUGUCCCUUUCAAUGGCAGGCAAUCCUUGCUGACUAAAGCCAAGGAAGGUCUUCUGCAUCUCCUCAUUUGAAGUGCUUCCUCUUCCUCUUGGCCUGCCUGAACAAAGCCCAAGCUUCUGACCCAGUUUAAAAAAAUCCCAUUACUGCACACCUUCCCUGACAACCCAGCACACCCUGGACUGUCUUCCUGGCACCUAGCUCUAGUCACUCACCCACUCCUUUAGGCCACCUUGGCAAGGUUGCCUUCUGCUGGAAUUUAAUUCAAGUGUGACCUUUCUGCAUCCUUCCACCUUGGGUGAUGAGUCUGUCGAAAAGCCAUUCCCAUCUCUACCACAACCUCUAUUUCUAGGAUUUGCUGGCUCCACCCUUACAGGUGGAGCUCAGCUAGGUGACUACACCCUGGGAAGGCAGAACUCCCACCCCAAAAUACACACACACAAUGUUGAGACCUUAAGCCCAAAGUUGCUGACAGCUGGAAAGCUCUGGUCUCCAAGUAGCCUGAUGUCUCCAGGGUGAAAUUAUUCAUCUGGUUUCAGGGUGUAACUAACACAAAGUCAAAACAGAACUCUGGGCUUCCAGAGUGUUCUAAAGAGCUAAUAAAUCCAUAGUGAACGAGACUUCCUAAAUUGAGUCUCCUUUAUGAGGCAAUUCAUGAGCCUGGUUUUGUCUACUGAAACAGUAAAUGACAACUGUAAAUAUUAACAAAAUGGUGUGGAGACUAGAGAAAAAGGAAACAAAACACACUGGUGAUCCUGUCUGGUUCCCACAGAGGACUGCCCUGUGUGAGAUUUCUGGUCACCAACCUCUGCUUGCUAAUUCAUGCUACUUUUAGAGAAAUGUAAUUCCAAGAAGGAAUGAGCAGUCUAGUCUGGUGGAAUGGGGUAGUGUUUCAUUAUGCUGAAACCACACAAGAGUGAAUAUUAUUAUUAACUCUGUGACUAUUAAAUGAAAGUCUGAUUCUAAAGAUGGAUUCUGGGUCACUCAUGAAACGUUUUGUUCAUGCGUGUGUUAGCAGACAGCUUUCAGGACACAAUUAACACAAAGUCAUUGUUGAUAAUUUUUUUUUUUGGUUUGUUUUGAGGUAUAAGUACAGGCUGCUUUUUCAUUAAUUUUUUUAAGAAUCCAAAUAUUUCAAUGUUGUCGUUUCACUGAACUCAUAUGGCAAGAGGUUUAAAGGUAAAAGGCAAAAGAAAUGUUGGAAAGCAAAGGGAA
ensembl:lncRNA